rnacentral:tRNA from 2 species
UAAAUUAAUUAAAAUUAAUAUCUUUUCAAUGUAAAUGAAAUACUUUAUAUAAGCUAUAAUUUA